UGUUGCACCCAGAAAAUAAGGUGCAGGUGAUAAAGAAAAUUUAAAGCUCACAAUGAACUCCUCACAAAAAGUAGAUGAAAGAACUAAGAACCAUUCCCAUAGGAAUGAAUCAUAAAGAGCCUGAGUACUGGAUUUGCUUACUUAUUGCUGACUUGACAGAAAGACUUAGAGAAUAAACUAAGAAUAUUUGGAUUGCUAUUUAACAAUACCAGUAUAUGUGGUUUUCAUUUUAGUAUUAUCUGAAGCCUGUUGUUUAUGUUCAAAAUAUAUAAUGAACAUUAAUAUUACUCAGAGAAAAACACUGAGUGGUGAACAUAUGCUAAAAUUACAUUUGUUGGUAUUAUAUUUAUAGUAACUGAUGCAUUGUAAAAUAUUAUUAUAAAUUUUAAAAAGCACAAACUAAUUAUGAUUACAGUGAGCUUUUAUUAUCAUAUAGAAACAACUCUACUUCCUCAUAUUCUCCAAGCUUACUAAAAUUCUGAUAUCAUAGACCAACUUUGCAUUAAGCACAAUAGAGACACAGUGCCUAUAGCCACGUUACUUUAAGGGCACUCAUGAAAAUGGUUUAACUACUUUCAAAAUAAGAACAAAUAAACUUUUAGGUCAAAAUGUUUGAUAUGUAGUAUCAACAUAUUCAUAUUUAUAUUUAUAGUCAUGUAAAAAUUUUAUUUUUAAUUUUUAAGGGAGAAAGUGGCCCACAAAGGCGAAACUCCCCAGGGCUGUGAAAAUUGCAUCCUACCCCAGGACAGACAAAUAAGAAUCUGAAAAAAAUACCCCCAUUUGGCAUUAUGAAUUGCAUAAAAUAAUCCAAAAAGAAUAUAUAACAAAUAUUAAAUAAAACUCUUUAAUGUCAACUAUGGAUUUAAUGUUGUUGUGCUUUACAUAGAUUAACUCAAUCCUUACAACAAGCUUCUGAAGCAGGUAUUAAUAUUAUAAUCAUUUCCAGUGCCAUUCUUUCACUUGUAGGCAGUACUAUGGGAAUACUUGCUUUGAGCAGCAAACUGAAUGUGCUGCAACCGCUGCAUUAUUAUCUCCUCAGUAAGGCAAUGAAACAGAGUUAGUCACCAGGAGAAUGUUGAAUUUCCCCUCUCACAUUUACCCAAAAUCUACAUAUUUUUGGUGCAUUUCCAUCCAAGGACUUUAACAGGCUUUAAAGGUUUUUCAUUAUUAUUGUUUUUACUUUUAACAAAAUGUUAGAAUUCUUUCUACCAACCUAUUAAACCCUGGCAUUGCUUACUUUGUAAAUAAGCAAUGCUAUGAAAAUUGCCACCAUGUUGGGUCCAGUUCCAUGGUAGUAGUUUCUUCAGAAGAAUAAAAUGUGGCAACUGCUGAAAUUUUGCCACUGCAUUGCUAUCUUUAGUAGAUAUAGUAUUUGAGUGUUUUGCCUUAAAAAUUUUGUUCAAGUUAUACAAAUAAAGGUAGCACCUAUAAAAGCUAAAAUUCAAAUAAAGAAUAAGUGGACUGUAUCUUUAAUUAAUUAACAAAAUGGCCAAAAUAUGUGCCACUUUCAAGUUUGGCAUCACACCUGUAAGGUUCACUUGAGUAAGAGAAUGUGGAAAAGUGAAACAGGUAGCUGAUGACUGUUUUUACCAAAAUGUAUGUUUGCUAGGAUCAUCUGUAUAAUUUUGAUAUUUCUGCAUUAUGUAUUUCAUAUAUAAGUAUAACUUUGGGUUACUUGCUAGAAGUUAGAACAAGCUACACAUACUUAAUAUUUUGCUAUGUUGCUAUAAGAUUAUAUUUAUCUCAUACAUUUAAAUAUAUGAUACAAAGAACUAUUUACCUAGUUAAGUCCUUCAUUGUAAUUUAUAGUACUAGUGAAGACUCCCUCAAAGCCCCAGCAAGUUACCUAACAAUUUCUCUAACAUUAUUACUGUAAUAGAAUAAGCAAAUUAUUGCAUAUGCUAUAUACUUUAAGUGAUAUUAAUGCACUAAAUGUAUCAUUAAUGAAGGUUCUGAAAAUAUUUUACAUGUGGCUGAAGUGUUUGAAUCUAAAAGAGCUGAAUUUUUAGAUAAAAGCAGCUGAUUUUUUCUACCAGAGAAUAUGUCUUCUUGUUAGAAGUCAUGCACAAAAUAUAUUUAAAAGCAUAUUUCUUAAGUGAGAACUUUGUGAUAUUAUCUGAGAUGCCACCUGUAAUUGUUGAGGAGCACAGACAAUUUAUCAGAAUGAAUCAGACAUUUAGAAGGUUUCAGUACAUUUUAGAGGUUACCUAGUCAAAAGCUCUCAUUUUGUAUGACAAAAGUACGAUGUGUAAGGGUGAAGUGAUCUUUACAAGGUCACACAGUUAUUUAGAGGCAGAGAUGGAGGACAAGUAAAGAGAAGCUGUUGGAACCUCCAUCUCCUCACUUCCAUCCUUUACAAAACACUGUUACUGCUGCUCCAUGUCAUACAAUUCAAAGUUCUACUGCCAAUAUAUUUUCCAUCAUUUGCCAGACACUUGUUAUAAGGAAAAGAUGGGAGAUGGAUAUUGUAAGUCAAAACGACCUAAAAAUUGUGUUUUGGUAAUAAAAUUUCCACAGAUUACAGCAAGGCAAGAAGAGACAAUUACGUCAUGAAGGGAGGAGAUACCCCAGUUUUCAGGAAACUAGAUGAAAAGGUUAAUGCCCAGAGAUCUAUAAUCAAAAUGACCUAUAAUUGUGAAAGACACAGCUAGUUUUACUUCUAAGUUACUAACAACAAAAUUGAUGCUCUUUUACCACAGACAUAGAAAACUGCAUUUCCUAACAGAGUUGCUCUUUCCUUUUUUUUAAAUUAGGGAUUUAAGAGGUGAAAGAUAAGAUUUUUAAAUACCUGUCCUUGCAAACUCGGAAAAUAUAUUAUAUAACCUAUGGACUUUCUUCUAAAUGUAUCAUUUUUAAUAUACAAAGUAUAAUUUAAAAAAAUUUAAAAAAUAGUUUGCUUACUGUUUUGCAGUAGUUUGCCAGAUACAAAGUUUUGAUUUUGGCAGAAUUAAGGGAAAUUCUUUUUAAACUGUACCCUCUCUUUGGAAUUCCAAGAUUUA